UGGUUCUGGCAUCGAUGAAGAACGCAGCGAAAUGCGAUAAGUAAUGUGAAUUGCAGAAUUCAGUGAAUCAUCGAAUCUUUGAACGCACAUUGCGCCCGCCAGUAUUCUGGCGGGCAUGCCUGUUCGAGCGUCAUUUCAACCCUCAGGCCCCGCCUGGCGUUGGGGAUCGGCGCGGCCCUCUCCGGGCUGCCGGCCCCGAAAACUAGUGGCGGUCUCGCUGUAGUCCUCCUCUGCGCAGUAGCAACGCUCGCACUGGAACUCGGCGCGGCCACGCCGUAAAACACCCCACUCCUGAAAGUUGACCUCGGAUCAGGUAGGAAUACCCGCUGA
rnacentral:misc_RNA from 1 species